rnacentral:tRNA from 20 species
GGAGAGAUGGCUGAGUGGUUGAUAGCUCCGGUCUGAAAACCGGCAUAGUCU